GCCGAGGUGGCGGAAUAGGCAGACGCGCUAGCUUGAGGGGCUAGUGCCCGUUGAGGGCGUAAGAGUUCGAGUCUCUUCCUCGGCA
rnacentral:tRNA from 1 species